CAGCCCUGAUGGUAAACGGCAGCUUUUUCUGUAACAGGAAGAAGGGCACUUACUGACGGGAGACCCACCAUCACAGGU
rnacentral:sRNA from 1 species